rnacentral:ncRNA from 2 species
AUAUAUCGCUGGGGGUGCCCUGUGGCUGAGAGAAGCAUAUGCUUCGACCCUUAUUACUUGAUCCGGAUCAUACCGGCGUAAGGAAGCAAGAUUCCCACCCC